rnacentral:misc_RNA from 1 species
GGAAGAUUCAAGGUCCUUGUCUUAUUUAUCUUUAACAACAUCAAACCUUGCCAUUCCUCUCACUCAGAUCCAUUCUCUUACUCUGUCUGCAAUUUCAUUCUUUGCCCUUCUGAUUGUUGCAUUUACAAAAUACAAUCACAGAAAUUGGAAGUUGAAUGCAAAAAUGGGGUGCUGCUCAGAUUCAGAUGAUUUGUUGAUGCCACUGUUGCUGGCUCUAGUCAUGGCAAUGCUCAUUUUUGUCGUCUGUCAACCUCCUCCAAGAAGAGUCGCUCUUUAUCACUGCCCUUGAAUUUUGUUAUUCUUCUAAGCAAAUUAUAUAUUCUUCUUUUGCCUGUAAGUUCUGCACAAGCUAAGUGUUUUGUAUUAUAUAUUUUAUCCAUUAUUACUUGUUAGUUCUCCAAGGCCUGCAUUGAUUUGCACUCACCCAACUAUUGUCGAUGAAAUUACGAUAGAAAGUCAUAUACGAUAUUGCGAGUGGUAUUUUUUUAUUAUUAUGAUAAAAUAGUAAAACAUUAUACUGUAUGAGACUGCCAAUAUGAUGAUAAGGGCAAGAAUUUCACAGGUGAGAACUAGCCAAGGUUUCAAAGACAGCAACUGUUAAUGAAUAAUUAUUCAUAUUGAAUAAGUACGUUAAAGAAAAUUAUUUAGUGCCAUAUCAUCUUUCAAUUAAAACGUAAGUUGAGCAAUGAAAUAAAGCAAUAGAUAAAGAGUUUAGUUGAUGAAAACUAAAUAGAGCCACGUUAGAACAUUAAAAUUUUCAUUUAGUUUACAAGCUACUAGCAACAUAAUUUAGAUUUUAGCUACUCCAUCCACAUGGUGUUCGAUGCAACCCAUUAAUGUGAUCCGGCUUCAUCAGCAGCCAUGUUCAACAGAGACUAAAUUAGGAAACCCUAUACUCGUAUGAACCUUCUGCAUCUUGAUAAAACAAUAAGCAUUGGCUUCCAAUCCUUUCUUAGCCAGAACAAAGCUUUUCAAGUGCCAAGUUUUCAUCACCACCAAAAGCAUCCAGCGUACUCCUGACCAAUGCUUCAGGGAAGCCCAUCUCAACAAGUUUCUGCACCUUUUCCUCAACCCCAAGAGAUGAGAUCUUGGCAAAAGUUUCUGUCCAGUAACGGGCUGUGCCAACAAAAGUCUGAUAGUCUUUAAGGUACUGCAAUGUCCACAGAAACUAACUUAUACAGUGAUGAAGAAAUUUAAGUCAAUUACAAACAGACACCCACAUUGAAGCAAGAUUUAGAGCAGAACUCAGAGAAAUGAGCUUACAUGGAAUUGCAAGAGCUUGCAUCAGAAAUCUAGCACAAGCUUCAUUAUUUUUCGAUUACCCAAUUAUCCCCAAAGCUUAUAAGUUAUAAUCAGAAGUCCAGAAUCCUUGAUCAAUUCUCACAAACAAACGAUGAAAGUCGAUGGAAAUAAAAAUCAAUGCAUCUCAAUCAUGAUGCAAUUAAAUAUGAGAACUACACAGUAGAGUUUUUAAAGUUACUAGCACUGAUUUAGGCAUGCAGUUCAUGGUUUUAAAAAACUAAAACUUAGUUUCCCACCACCUUUCUUUCUUGCAGUUAUUGCAAGACAGAAUUUCCAGAAACUAGAUAUUUGUUCAAGCUCAUAACUUCAGCAAAAUUAAACCAAUUUCACAAAUAAUUCUAGGCCAAGCCUUCCAAACAAAACAAACAUAAAUUGAAUCAACGAAAAUUCAAACCAGCAAUCAAACAUGGAAUCUCAAGAGAAACUGGGAUUGCAAAGUUUUCUAGAAUCCAAAUACUCAAUUACACAAAAUAAUAGCCGCAGAGUCAAUGAGGAGAGGGUAAAGUGUGGAGAGAGAGACAGAGGAAAAAAGAAAACCCUAGAAUGGUCUAUUGACUUACAAAGUUAUUACCAAAAUCCAAUUAAGACACCAAAGCUAAAAAUUGCAGCAAACUGCACCUGUUGUGCUACUACAGCAUCUUGAGGGUCAUCAGGUUGAGGAGCAGAGAGUAAUGCUUGGACAGAAAGUAGUGCUGUCUUUAGAGUGAGUGCUGGGCUCCAUUGAUCUUUCAAAAUGUCCAGGCAAAUUGCCCCACUCUGGCUGCUAAUAUUAGGGUGCCUUAAGCAGGAAGAUCACAAUACAGAAAAGGAUUGCAGAGUUAAUCUUCUCAAAACAUCAACUGAAAAUUUUAUGCCACUAGCAUGCAUCCACUAAUCCAAUUUGAAACCAACACGAUGAAUUUUAAAAGCUUAAGACAGCACAUCCAGUGGAGGACGAAAAAGCUAAUCCAACAUUUAAAAUUCAUCCCAGAAACAACAAAACCCAACACAAACUUCAUAUGAUGAUAGAAAUUUCUAGGUGGCUUCUGCAUUCAAACAUCAUAUGCAAGAUGCAUUGCAGAGACCAGUGUCAACAUAAAAAUUGCAUAUUUAGAUUUCAAAGCACCCUGAAAAUAUUAGCAUGCCCUCUGCAAAUACAACAUAGCAAAAGGAAAGAAGAUGUUAGGGGCAAAAGAUUAAUGCCGUAGCGUGCAAUAAGAUGCAUCGCAUGCCUGCAAAAUUCAUCCCUAAAUUUAAGUCCAUGACAUGCAUAAACCAAUUGCAUCCUUAAUUUUAAGGCGUCAAAGGCACCAAUUCUCCAGCCCUUUUACAAUACUUCCACACCAUCAAUUAAGAAGAUAUAGAUAAUAAAAAAUAAUAAUAAGAAGCAUUAAAUACAGAAGAAGUACUUUUUAGCUCAUAACCAUCUCCAUGCUGUAAAAAUCUUACUGAACAUGAACCGACCUGAAAUUUCUCAAUGCAAAUCAAAAGCUACCAUAAUAUAUUUCUAACAACAUCAUCAGUCCUCCAAGAUACACCCAUCUACUAUUAUGCAUGCAGACAAUAGCAUAUGAAUCACAAUUAUAUAUAAUAUGCCACCAAUUUUACAACUGAAACCAUACAAAUAAUAGCAGAAUGAAACAAUUAAUUCCUACCAGACUUUUGUUGUGAACUGCAUUUUGGGAGGCUCGAAAGGAUAUCCAUCCGGAAGUGAAAUGUCAAUUUGGAAAGUGCCACCCUCGUAAGGAGUGCCGAUUGGUCCAGGAAUGGUGCCAGUCAAGCGAGCAAGAUUCUCGGAUUUGGGGGUGACUUUGAUGCCAGAGGCUUCUAUGUCUCUGCUGCAUUCUUGAAGCUCUUUUUGUACGCGGGCAAAAUCGAUCAUUUCUGGAUUAAAUGAUGAAAGAUAGAGAAGCCCUAGAGAGACAGCGAAGGAAAAUAAACAAAGGUAAAUUGCAGUAUGAAGGGAAAGGAAUAAAGGCUCUUCCUU